AACAUGUCUUUUUGAUAAUAAUUUAAAGUCUAAUCUGCCCACUGAUAAUUAUUAAAGGGCUGCAGUAUAUUGACUGUACAAAGGUAGCAUAAUCAUUAGUCUUUUAAUUGAAGACUUGUAUGAAAGAUUUGAUGAAAUAUAAACUGUCUCUUAUGUAUUUAUAGAAUUUAAUUUUUUAGUUAAAAAGCUAAAAUAAUUUUAAAAGACGAGAAGACCCUAUAGAGUUUUAUAAUUAAAAUUUUAAAUUAUUUAUAUAAAAUUUUAAUAAUAUAAAAUUUUAAUUAUUAUAUUGGGGUGAUAUAAAAAUUAAAAAAACUUUUUAUAAAAUUAACAUAAAUAAGUGAAUAAUUGAUCCAUAAAUAAUGAUUAGAAGAAAAAAUUACCUUAGGGAUAACAGCGUAAUAUUUUUUUUUAGUACAAAUAAGAAAAAAAGUUUGCGACCUCGAUGUUGGAUUAAGAUAAAAUUUAAAUGCAAAAGUUUAAAAUUUUGAUCUGUUCGAUCAUUAAAAUCUUACAUGAUCUGA
rnacentral:rRNA from 1 species